CGUUCCCAGAGCACACAGCAGCAGGGGAGGUGGGGUUCACAGCAGAGAGCAGUAAAAAGAUCUGCUCUAGAUUUCCUGAGGAUUCCAGAAUGCAGUGGAAAACCACAGUGUUUCUGGAUGAGUGACAUGGAGCACAGCAAUGUAGAUUCUCCAGUCAUUGAGCAUAUCCAAGUGAACAAAGCACCUAAGAUGUGCCGCUGGACCUACAGAGCUCAUGGUCGGAUUAACCCAUACACAAGCUCUCCCUGCCACACAGAGAAGAUCCUUACUGAAAAAACAGAUUGUUCCUAAACCUGAAGAGGAGGUUUGCCCAGAAGAAAAAGAUAUCCCAGAAGAAACUGAAUAAACAAAAACUUAUGGCACAGGAGUAAAUUCAGCAUUAAAAUAAAUG